rnacentral:tRNA from 1 species
AGCUCCGUAGUGUAGUGGUCAAUCAUAUAGGACUUUGAAUCCUGUAACACUGGUUCGAAUCCGGUCGGAGCUA